rnacentral:rRNA from 1 species
GUGGGGAAUUUUGGACAAUGGGCGCAAGCCUGAUCCAGCAAUGCCGCGUGCAGGAAGAAGGCCUUCGGGUUGUAAACUGCUUUUGUCAGGGAAGAAAUCUUCUGGGCUAAUACCCCGGGAGGAUGACGGUACCUGAAGAAUAAGCACCGGCUAACUACGUGCCAGCAGCCGCGGUAAUACGUAGGGUGCGAGCGUUAAUCGGAAUUACUGGGCGUAAAGCGUGCGCAGGCGGUUUUGUAAGAUAGAUGUGAAAUCCCCGGGCUCAACCUGGGAACGGCAGUGGUGACUGCAAGGCUGGAGUGCGUCAGAGGGGGAUGGAAUUCCGCGUGUAGCAGUGAAAUGCGUAGAUAUGCGGAGGAACACCGAUGGCGAAGGCAAUCCCCUGGGCCUGCACUGACGCUCAUGCACGAAAGCGUGGGGAGCAAACAGGAUUAGAUACCCCAGUAGUCC